UACAAAUUAUAUUUACCCUGAGUUUUGCACAAAUAUUACAAAGGAAUGCCACUAGGGUUAUACAUUGUCGUUUUAUAGCUUAAUAAAACCAUUGAACUUUUCUACAGACGUAAACCGGCGAAAGUAAUUUGGAAUAAUCAAUUUUGUUUUCCCGUCGGUGUAUAAUCUACAGAGAGAGAAAGACAGCUAAGUAUUUUGUUUCUGUAUCCGAUUUUGAUCGGAUUCCUUUCUGUCUAAUCGGAUUGUCAUGUUCUGUCGUGAAUUCGUCUUUCCUUCUUGCCGAUGUUCUAUUCUCCUUUUGCAUCUCUUUACAACUACUAGAUCUUUAAAAGAUCUCGAUUUUAUUUGAUUAUGCUUGAUUGAGUUUAUACAUGGAUGUAAAUCUUUCCGUUAUAUAUUUCUGGUCGGAUGUGAAUUUCAGAUUGGAGUGUAAGUUUUCCCAAGUUGAUCAAAUCGAGAAGUUAGGGAUUGAUAUGUGACAUUUAGUAAAAGAGGUGGGGCUGAUGUGUUGCUCAAAAAAAAAAAAAAGGUGGGGCUGAUGUUCACGACUGUUUUCUGGAGCUCUAAGCAAUUGAAUAUUGGUGCUGGUAACCGGAGAAGAUGACCUGAAAGCAAAGACGUUCACCGGCGACACACAAUUCUCGAAGUGGUUCAUCUUCUUUCGGAAGCCACUGUAAAUCUUCUUUUGCAAUAGUACACGUGUUUUAAUUGUAGAAUCAUCCUUGCUCACGUGUUUGAGUUUUUGGGCAUUAAAAUUUAAUGGAAAAGAAUUGAUUAAAAAUUUGGAAAAGGAGAUAACUUUGUAUUUUCCUAAAUCAAUAAAAUUCAGAAUAAUUUAUCUA